rnacentral:rRNA from 1 species
GAUGAACGCUGGCGGCGUGCCUAAUACAUGCAAGUCGAGCGAACGGACGAGAAGCUUGCUUCUCUGAUGUUAGCGGCGGACGGGUGAGUAACACGUGGAUAACCUACCUAUAAGACUGGGAUAACUUCGGGAAACCGGAGCUAAUACCGGAUAAUAUUUUGAACCGCAUGGUUCAAAAGUGAAAGACGGUCUUGCUGUCACUUAUAGAUGGAUCCGCGCUGCAUUAGCUAGUUGGUAAGGUAACGGCUUACCAAGGCAACGAUGCAUAGCCGACCUGAGAGGGUGAUCGGCCACACUGGAACUGAGACACGGUCCAGACUCCUACGGUAGGCAGCAGUAGGGAAUCUUCCGCAAUGGGCGAAAGCCUGACGGAGCAACGCCGCGUGAGUGAUGAAGGUCUUCGGAUCGUAAAACUCUGUUAUUAGGGAAGAACAUAUGUGUAAGUAACUGUGCACAUCUUGACGGUACCUAAGCAGAAAGCCACGGCUAACUACGUG